AUUUUUUUCAAGUUUUAUUAUAGUUGAUUUACAGCGUGUGAUAAUUUCUGUUGUCCAUGCUUCUGAUACUCUAAUAUUAACCUCCCCCCAUCUCAUCGCAUCUUCUCCUCACACGCCGUAUCAUUGUGGAAAGGGGGAUAGUUCUGUGUUUCUAUUGCCACAGAGGAUUUUAGUGUGACUUCAAAAAGAUACGAGAAGACUCUUGUCCUUGAAAAAAAAAAUCUGACAUUUUUUCCUUAUUUUUCCCUUUGAAAAAAUAAUAAAUGCUUUACUCAUUUGAGUUGGUAUUACUAGCCAUCUUAUUCCUGCUAUUCCACAGAGGAGAACAAAAUACAGAUAUUUACUAUGUAAAUGUUGCAUGUUCAAUCAGCAGAAAAUCUUUUUAAACACGUUAAUUCUUUCUGUUGAUUAAGCGGAGUUCCCAUCAUGGCUCAGCAGAAAUGAAUCUGACUAGUAUCGAUAAGGAAGCGGGUUCAAUCCUUGGCCUCAAUCAGUGGGUUAAGGAUCCAGCUUUGCCAUGAGUUGUGGUGUAGGCCGCAGACAUGGCUCAGAUCUGGCAUUGCUAAGGCUGUGGUGUAGGCUAGCAGCUACAGCUCCGAUUCGACCCCUAGCCUGGGAACCUCCAUGUGCCAUGGGUGUGGCACUAAAAAGGAAAAAAAAAAAAAGUCUAUAACUAAAAAACAUCUUUCAUCUCCUUCCAUAUACAGACACAGACACACACACACACACCUUUUCACAGCCGGAAAUACACAAACAUUUUGACAGGGACUAAGCUUCUGUUUUCCUGACAAUUUAGAGACCAAAAUAGGCAGCGUGUGCGAGGCAGUACCACUGAGUAAAAAGAAAUACGAAGUGGGCUUUGAGAAAGCUGGGUUCUAGUCCCACCGUAACUACUAUCCAAGUCAAGUCAUUCUAGUCUGUGGAUCUAUGCUUUCUAAUGUAGAGAACUAGUGAGAUAAAUGUGAUGAUUUCUAAAGGUCCUUCUAGACCUAAGGUUCUAUGAAAUCCAAAAAGAGUUAGAAGUAGUAUCUAUGCUCAGGUAGUCCAUUAACUGUAUCUGGACUUUUCAAGCAGUUAUGAUAGUUCAAAAAGUUUCAUAUCCUACAAGUUUUACACUUAAAAUCCACUUUUUUAGAAUUGGUGCAGAACAUUUUCCAUGAUUAUUUAUCUGUCAAUAGAAACUUACUGCAUGUUCAUUAACCCAUUAAAUGCAAGGCCCAGUGGAAGACCUGAAAAUGAGGGAAAUAUUGUCCCUGGCCUUCAGGGACUUUGACUCUCACUGUUGACAUAGACGCUGGACUCAUAGUUAUAAAGGCACUGCUAAAUGCUAUCAAGAGAUAUCUCAAAGGGCCACUGGUUUUCAGACGAGGUAAGACUGACCUCUACCUAGAAACAAAACUUCCUACUGGACUUGGCACAUGAGCAGGGCCCCAACAGGACAUGGCUCUGCAGAGGAAGAUAAGAAUAAGUAUUGGCCAUAGUCAUGUCAAAGGGAAGGUAUCAGGAACAUCCCAUUGAACUUCAGCUAAGUCUUGGUGACUAGACUGUUCUCAUAAAAACAUUAGUAAAGUGCAACUCCAUGGAUAAGCCUGGAGGUCAUGGGCAAAGUGAAAUAAGCUAGUCACAAGACAGACACUGUAGGAUUCCACUUAGAUUAGGUAUCUAAAACAGUCAAACUUGGAGCUCCCAUUGUGGCGUAGUGGUUAACAAAUCCAACUAGGGACCAUGAGAUUACGAGUUUGAUCCUUGGCCUUGCUCAGUGGGUUAAGGAUACGGCGUUGCGUGAGCUGUGGUGUAGGUCACAGACGGAGGGCUUGGAACCUGCGUUGCUAUGGCUCUGGCAUAGGCUGGCAGCUGCAGCUCCAAUUGGACCCCUAGCCUGGGAACCUCCAUGUGCCAUGGGUGCGGCCCUAGAAAAGACAAAAUAAAUAAAUAAAUAAAUAAAUAAAAUAGUCAAACUCAUAGAAGCAGAGAGUAGGAUGGCAGUUUCCAGAGGCUGGGGGAAGGGGAAAAUGGGGACUUGCUACUCAAUGGGUAAAAAAUUCCGAUUAUGCAAGAUGAAUAAUUUCUAGAGAUCUGCUAUAUAACACCACGCCUAUAGUUAACACUACUAUUUUGUACACUCAAACAUUUGUUAAAAAGGGUAGUUCCCAUGUAAACUUUUUUUUUGCUACAAUAAAAAAACCUUAGGAAGAUUAUUACUACUCAUAUUUUAAUUUGAUCUAGUUAGUCAGACCAAGCAACCUUUAUAGCAUUAAUUUAAAACAAUAAUAUAUUUUAAAUAUAUAUAAUUAUAUUAGUCAAUUAUUCCCAAUUAUUCUUCAAUAAUGUUAAAAAAUUAUUAACUCUUCUCCUUUACCUGAAUGUCCCUAAUCACUUUCCAAAUUAGGUUUUCUUCAAUUUACUUUUGCUUAAGAUGUAGUAAUCAUGGUCUUUGGAAAAUGUGGAUUCAAGAAAAUAAAUUGGAAAAAGUAUAUUGGCAAGUUAACAUCAGUCACUACAAUACACAGAUCUACUCACAUGAGUUUACACUAGUCCAACGGAAAGUGUGCGCCACACAAACUGAGAUGACCAACAUCCAUAACUGACAUUGACAGUCAUAGAGUUGACCCAAUUGCUCAGCAUUCUUCACCAAAUUCAAAGGAACCCUAAUGGAAAAUUUCUAAGUAUGGAACUACAAGCCUAUCUAAAUGCUCUCAGAAACACCUUGUUUUUCCUUUUUUGGUGAAGUGGUCUGAAUUAUUUAGGUGAUUUUGAUUCAUGCAGGUCAAAAAGAUAUAUACAUUUUUAACUGCGCUAUAUUUCUUUAUCUUUUUAUAACGCCCACUACAAAACAUCAUACGUUUAUCAGGUCACAUCCUUUAAAUGGCUAAAACAAAAUAUCCCUUAAUGAAAUGCCCGUUUACAAGAAAAUUCCAAUGCACCUAGCAUUAAGAUAAUGCUAUGAGAACAUCCUUUCUACUCUACACAUAACUUGGGACUCUCAGAAAUUCCAUUAACUCUUUCUGUGCUGUAUGAGGACUUCACAGAACUCCCAGCCUCAACCACAUUUAGUUGCAGGCUAGUGACUGAGGAGUUUGUCAACUUCAGAGCAGUCCCAUUAAAUAUGCCUGUACAUACUUGUGUCAUUGUGCAUACUUGUGCAGUUGUUAAGGUAUUUACACACAAAAGAUCACAGGACAGUAAAUUAUAUGUGGUGCACUACUCGGUUUAGGAUUAAUUCAUAUCCAUAAAUUCAUUCAAUUUCAAUAUGGUUUUGAACUAAAAGUGCUUCUUUCAAUAGAGAAGCAAUUUUCUUUACAGAAGAACAGCCAACAAUCCCUGUCCUGACCUUGACUUUGCAUCUCAGAAGUCUUAGCUCCUCAUUCCUCACCUCUAGCCAAAGGGAUACUGUAAGCGUCCCACCAGCUAACCAGCCAUAUUCCAGCUUGGCCCUUUGAAGACUGGGUUUUACGAUCUCCAGUUUACCUAUUACUUUCACUGGGAAUUACUGAGAAGAGAAUGUUUUCUACAGCUGCUACAAAUAAAUUUUACAAAUUUGACUUUGGGUGGAUCUUAUCUAUUCAAAAGUUUCAAGGAAAAAAAAAAUCUUAAAGUAGCAAGUAGUCUCAAGAUUUUUGAUUUUUUUUUUUUUUGGAAACUCAAUUAGACCAGCAUUUGUAUGCAAAUUCCUAUUUUAAAUAAUCAUUGGAAGAUAUGCUUACCUCUCUAUUUGUAUAUAGCUGGCUCAAGCUGUAAUUUACACAUUAAUAUUCACAAUCUAACCCAGCUACUUCAAACCACCGAGAGCCAGCUUUGCUUCUUUAUUUAUAGAAUUUUCCUGGAAAGGAUCAGCAUUUGCUGGGAAACUAAAUGACUGUGUUCUAAUCGUGUUUCUGAGACCUCAUUUCAAGAUCUCAGAAAAGUCCCCAAAAAAACUCUGUGAGAAGACAUUUCCAUAAGUGAACUCAAAAAGUCUUUAAAAAGGGUGAUGGGUCUAAAAAUAAAUAUCUCAUGUAAGUAACAGACCAAUACAGUUUAAGUCCUGAGUAAUUGUGCCAUGUUUAGUUUCUAAAAGGGUAAUGGGAAUAAUGAUAUUUAAUUCAUGUAACAAUCAAACUGAUCUUGAUUUAGAAUGUCUUUUUCUUUCUGAUACUAUCUCUAUGUUAAAGGGUAAUAUGAAAACUCCAAAGAAGGAAUGCAAAGACAUAUAAUUAUUCUGUUACAUUUCCACAGUCCAGUUCUUAGGUAAAUUUCGUGCCUCAGUUUCUCUCUACCACUUGAAAACUCAUGUCAGUCAUCUUACUGGGGAAAAUUUCUUUCACAAGUGAUUGAGAUUUUUGUCAAUAUUAUUAUUAUUGCAAGCUGCAUGAUAAGUGUUCAAUCUAAAUAUCCAAUUAAACUAUAACAUAUGCAGCUUUAGAAAAUACAUACACAUAUACUGUAUAUUUCACAUAUUUCGUUAUAUGACAUGAAAUAAAACUUCAUGUUUUCAAAUUGUCCCCACCGUUGUUUUGUAACUGACCUGUAUCUACUGUAAAAUGUAGAACAAGCCAGAUUCAUUUCUAACUGUGCAGAUGGCUCAUUAUCCAGCUGCCUUAAAGAUAGAAAGAUUAGUGAGAGCUUAAGUGUGAUGCUAGGAAGGAGCAAAAAAUCUGGGAACUUGCAAACUACCUAAAGUCAAAUCUUUGUGCUCAUGGUCCAAAUCUCCCAUUGGGAGGUAAGGUUGGGAUCUGAGAUAAGGUCUGCCACAUUAUUCCAGAGAUAAUUCAACAUUCAUGUCAUUUAUCGCAUUGGUACACAUAUUCUUCAACUCUCUGUCU
rnacentral:lncRNA from 1 species